AUUGAACGCUGGCGGCAGGCCUAACACAUGCAAGUCGAACGGGCGGCGGGGGCGUGAGUAAUGUAUAGCGACUGCCCGCUAGAGGGGGGUAACUACUGGAGAAGGUGGCUAUUACCCCGUACUAUCGGAUAACCCAUAUGUGGUUAGCUAGUUGGUGAGGGAAUGGCUCACCAAAGCGACGAUCCCUAGCUGGUCUGAGAGUAUGACCAGCCACACUGGGACUGGGACACGGCCCAGACUCCUACGGAGGCAGCAGUGGGGAAUAUUGCACAAUGGGCGAAAGCCUGAUGCAGCCAUUCCGCGUGUAUGAAGAAGGCCCUAGGGUUGUAAAGUACUUUUGGUCGGGAGGCGGUAUCGACAGAAGAAGCACCGGCUAACUACGUGCCAGCAGCCGCGGUAAUAC
rnacentral:rRNA from 1 species